CCGCCGCCGCCGCUUCCGUCUCGCCCUUCCUUCUGCGCCAGCCGCCGCCGCCGCCGCGCCUUAGUGCGAGGGGCGGCCCGGGCGCUUUGUGGACGCGCUCGGCGCUCACCUAGGACUGUCACCGGCUCCUCCGCGGCCCACGGGAGCGCUCCCGAAAGACCCCGCGGGUGUCGGUGACGGUGUCGGGAUCCCGGCCCCCACCGGCCCCGAAAACUACUCCUUCCCCGUGCCCCGCUCAGCGCGAAAGCUGCGGGAAGCUCCAAUCUAAGGCAACUGAAGUUGCUAUGAUCAAUAUUCAACUGUUUGUAGAGACUAUGACAUUCUAUGGUGACUAAUCUUCAAGACCACAUGGACUGUAGCCCUCGGGACUCCUCUGUCCAUGGAAUUCUCCAGGCAAUACUGGAAUGGGUUGCCAUUUCCUUCUCCAGAGGAUCUUCCGGACCUAGGUAUCGAACCUGCACCUCCUGCAUUGGCAAAUGGAUUCUUUACCACUGAGAUACCUGGGAAGUUCUGCACUUGUGUGGUUCCUGUCUAAAGUUGGCUCUGGAGAAAUCUGUAUAAGAUUUGAAGUGAAGUGGCAGCCAUCACCCUCAAAGCAGGCUGUCACCGAUGUCCUUGUUGGCUCAUCUUUUCGUUUUGAGGCUCAGCAGCUCCCUCAAUGCCACCAGUCUUCUCCUUUAAAUGCUCUUGAUCCCGGGCAAGAUUAGGUGCAGCAAGAGACACGGUGUGAAGGCAAUACGCUGUGUUACCAUAGUCAGUUGUGCCUGCCUCCCACCACUUGGCAUUCAGCUUUCCUUCCUGACUGCCUGCCUUGCCACUCUGCAGGCAGAUGACUUUGGGGCCACCGGCCGAGGAGUCGGGUUUCAAGAGAGCCCUUCAUCAGCUUCCAUUCUUGUUCCAAGGUCAGCAAUUUUAUCUGAUCCUCCAACUAUCCCCCUCCUUCACAGACCUUUGCUAUCACAUCUUCACCACCACCCCAUUUGUGUAAUAUCUACUCCCUGUAAUGAACCCCUUAGUCUGUAUCAGUCCUAAGUGGUCCUGCCUCCCCAGCUGAAUGAUUAACCAGUUAGGUAACCAUUGAAAGCAAGUUGCUGAGGAGCUUCUCAAGCCCAGGUCUGUCUGACUCCUUCUUCUCACGUUGAAAAGAGCAAUUAAGAUUUUUAUUUGGAUGAUACUCAUUAUAAAGCUCGGUUUAUUGUUAUAGAUGGCAUAACUGGUUAAUUGUUACCAUGUUGAAAUCAGGUUUCCCAGCAAUUUGAACAUGUUUUAUGUUUCCUAACAUUUUUGUUGUUGUUGUUAACAUUUUAUUUUAUUUUAUUUUUACUUGUCAUGUUUGGCCACACCCCAACACGUGUAGGACCUUAGUUCCCUGCCAGGGAUUGAACCUGGGCCACCUGCAGUGGCAGCACAGAGUCCUAACCACUGGACCACCAGGAAAGUCCCCUAACAUUUCAUUUGAAUUACAGCUGUUGUGUAUAUGUCACCUCUAGUAUUGAAUGAUAAAGGUCUUCAAGGACCACAUAAAACUUUCUCCUUAUUUUUCAGCAGUUAUUUUAUGAGUAGCAGGUACUCAAUAAAUGCUUGUGACUUUUAAUAGAGUAACUAAAUUCCUCAAAAAUAGGCACACUUGUACCAUGUCAAAAUAUAAACAUGCAUUUAGGGACACUGGGUGUAUGCUAUAAGAUGUGCAAGAGAUGUUGCCACUAAAUCAGGACAUAUAAAAAGAUGAACAGUUUUGAACAGGAAUUGAACUACUGUUCAAAGCAUUGGAAUGUUCUUGUUACAAGCUGAGGCUUAGCUUCAGAAUGGAAGACAGAGUCCUGCCCUCCCUUUGACAUUGUAGUCUCAUUGUAGAGAAUUUUGUUGUGUGCUACUGCAAAGAUACUGUCCUGUUAUAGCUCUCUGGGAAAAAUAUGUUUUGUUAAAUUUCUCUGCUGUUUACAAGUAAUGGUUAUAAACAUGACAUGCUUUUCGGUGUAAUUUGUAUUAACAUUUCUCCAUCAGUUAAAUUUUAGACAAUCAAAUUCUAGACAACAAAAUAAUAAAUCAAGCCUCAACUUGU